rnacentral:sRNA from 1 species
GUAAAAUCAUUGUUUUGGCUGAGGAAAAAUUUGUUACGAAAAAAAAAUUUGGCGGGAAAUUUUUUUUUGGGCGGGAAAUUUUUUUUUUUGGCGGAAAAAUGUUUGGUGGGAAAUUUUUUUUGGCGGGAAAAAAAAUUUUGGCGCCAAAAAAUUGGCGGGAAAAGUUCAGUCUCCAAUUACAUGUUUCUAUUAGAUGACGGUAAUUUGGUCAUUUUGUUCAAGGGAAGGAGUAUUUUUAAAAAUGGACAACAUAAAAGGGUAUUGUUGCAAAAGAGUAGUAAAACAAGGGUAGUUUUGCAAAUCUCCCCUUUUAUUUCCAUAUACUACUUAUAUUAACUAAACUUACCAAAAUUGAAUAUCAGAAAU